GUAGGGGACGAGCGUUGUCCGGAUUCAUUGGGCGUAAAGCGCGCGUAGGCGGCUCGGAAAGUCGGUCGUGAAAUGCCGGGGCUCAACCCCGGGACUGCGUCCGAUACUUCCGGGCUGGAGGUAGGUAGGGGAGAUCGGAAUUCCUGGUGUAGCGGUGAAAUGCGCAGAUAUCAGGAGGAACACCGGUGGCGAAGGCGGAUCUCUGGGCCUUACCUGACGCUGAGGCGCGAAAGCUAGGGGAGCGAACAGGAUUAGAUACCCUGGUAGUCCUAGCCGUAAACGUUGGGUGCUAGGUGUGGGCGGACAUCGACCCCGUCCGUGCCGAAGCUAACGCAUUAAGCACCCCGCCUGGGGAGUACGGCCGCAAGGCUA
rnacentral:rRNA from 2 species